UGCGGCGUCGUGUGGAGUCUAUGAUUCAGGCUCUGGAUCAAGCUAAGCCGUUGGAGAAAGCAAGAUCGAUGAACAACAAAUCAUUUAAACGUCUAGGACUCAACGAUGUCAACCACACCAA